CCUACGGGAGGCAGCAGUGGGGAAUAUUGCACAAUGGGCGAAAGCCUGAUGCAGCGACGCCGCGUGAGGGAUGACGGCCUUCGGGUUGUAAACCUCUUUCAGCAGGGAAGAAGCGAAAGUGACGGUACCUGCAGAAGAAGCGCCGGCUAACUACGUGCCAGCAGCCGCGGUAAUACGUAGGGCGCAAGCGUUGUCCGGAAUUAUUGGGCGUAAAGAGCUCGUAGGCGGCUUGUCACGUCGGAUGUGAAAGCCCGGGGCUUAACCCCGGGUCUGCAUUCGAUACGGGCUAGCUAGAGUGUGGUAGGGGAGAUCGGAAUUCCUGGUGUAGCGGUGAAAUGCGCAGAUAUCAGGAGGAACACCGGUGGCGAAGGCGGAUCUCUGGGCCAUUACUGACGCUGAGGAGCGAAAGCGUGGGGAGCGAACAGGAUUAGAUACCCUGGUAGUCCACGCCGUAAACGUUGGGAACUAGGUGUUGGCGACAUUCCACGUCGUCGGUGCCGCAGCUAACGCAUUAAGUUCCCCGCCUGGGGAGUACGGCCGCAAGGCUAAAACUCAAAGAGAAUUGACG
rnacentral:rRNA from 1 species